rnacentral:tRNA from 1 species
GGGGAUUGGGUAAUAAGGCCUGAUUAGCGCCUCACUGCUAACGAGGUAAGGGGUUAAACCCUUCAGGAGUUCAAAUCUCCUCGUCUCCGCCA